GCCCGGAUGGCUCAGCCGGUAGAGCAUUAGGCUUGUAACUUGAGGGUCCAGGGUUCAAAUCCCUGUUCGGGCG
rnacentral:tRNA from 1 species